ensembl:lncRNA
CCUGGAUCAGAUGGGCAUUUUCUGCUACUCUUGGAUGAUAGAUUUCUGCCUUAUAAGAUUCAUUUAUGAGAGCACCUUAUUUACCCACAAAGGGUUUUGGUAAACAAGAAAUAACCCAGUGUGCUGGCGCAGGGAGCAACAACAAGGCAUGGAGAAAACAUAAUGAACAGAUGGAUUCUUACUCAGAGGGAAGAAAAUUCAUCUGAACUUAAGAGGAAUCACUCAGGAAUACCCAGAGUGGCAAUUCCAUCCCCAAGACAUACAGAAGACUUGGUGGUGUAACACAGUAUAAGGCAUCAGAUACUUUCCGUGAAAAGACCAGAGACUAUUGCUAAAAACACAAAUUUUCAGGAGAAAAAAGGAAACUUUUUGGUUCCUCAUUAGUCUUUUUGACUAUGUGGAGUGGUUGCACAAUUCUGAGUCUGAAUGAACUCCCUAAUAUGAGGCCUGCACUUAGGCCCAAAGAAGUCUUUCUUCUUGGAGCCUCAGAGGUUCCUCAUGUUCUUCAAAUGGGAGAUGGAAGUCCAGGUCAUUUUUAAUUUCACUCUUGCCUCUGUUAGGCCCAGAUCUCUGCCUCCUGCUAAAAGAAAGACAACAAAAAGGAACAGAUGGCUAGGAAAAGAGACGUUCACAUGGCAUUUCCCUCUCUCAGUGACCGAAUGACGGUUUUCCCUAUAGAAAGGAUAUUUUAAAAUGCAUCCGAGGGUCGAGUGCCUCAAAUCAAGUGAGAUCAAGAUGAUCUUAAAGCAGGAAUAAUAAAGGACAUAUGAUAUGACUAACUGCUUUGGAGGCACACUCCCAGUGGGUAAGCUUUAGAAGUUUCCCUUUAUUUGUUCAAGCCUGAGAGACUGGAAAAUUGGUAAUCAGUGAGGUUCAGAACAGCCAUGGUAAUUUCAGGAAGGAACACUCAUGCCUUAUAAACCUAUAAGAAUUUUGUAAGACUCUCAACGAUGAAUUGAACUUGGAAAGUGCACUGAAAGCCCUACCACAUGGUCACAUUUGAGUUAAUGUAGAAGGAGAUGGGAGAGACUCUGAAGCAGGAAGACACAAGGAAAUGGUUAAUAGUAGAGGAAAGAAUAAAUGAAGACAGAUGAAGCAGACCUUCAUAAACUUAAGACAAACAUCUUUGUCAUAAACAAUUAAGGCUUUGGGUUCCUGUAGAACAGCACUUUGCAGUAAGCCUUUAUUUCACAUUCUCUAAAACUUUAUGUGUUAUUAUAUGAAUUCAAAAACAUCUAAGGAGAAGCUACUGUGAGACAAGACCUGCAUGCAGACUGAGUGAGUAAGGUAUGGUACAGCAGUCAGGGCCUUAAACACUAGGGCACAAAGACAGGUGCCAAAAAAUCACAUACGGUGUGAGUGUGUAAGGAACAGUGGGUACACAAGGGAAAACUUGACUCUAUCUCAAAAAAGUAAGGAAGAUAUUCUAUCCAGGGUGAAAUAACAAUUCAUCUCUUUAAAACUUAAAAAAAUCAUGAAUUUUCAAGUCUACAAUUAGUGACAAAGUGAGGUCAUGAUGCAGAUUUUUCAAGAAGACUUGGAGAGACUUUCACCGUGAAGCCUGGUACUUUCGGUGCUAUAUUUUUUAAAUGUUAAAUCCAAUAUUUAAGGAAAGGAAAUAGCAUAUCCUGAUCUAUUAAGACUAAUUUGGUCUGGCAAACAAUUAGAAUAUUAAUACCCCUUGUCUGACUACAAUUUUCAAGAGUAGUCCAUUUUUCAAUUUGUACAGUCUUGACAUAGGUUGAGAAGAUGAGGUAAGACAUAAGAAAUGAGGCUAUAUUUGCUCUGCCCAAAGAUGAUUAGAAGAGCAAGUUUAGCUGCCUUUAUCAGAACUGCCACUCUAAUGAGAAUGAUGCUGAAGCUUUUGUGACAGCAUGACAAUAGGCAGGAAGUACUGCCUGACCCACUUUACUCCAACAAAGUGAAUACACGUAAAUAAAAUAUUAGGAUAAAAGAAGAGUAGUAUCAUGUGAACAAAUAAAUAAAUUUGAAAAUAUUUAGCACUAAGAGAGGGAACGCAAGGAACAAGUUAACUUGGAAUCUAACAUGAAUUAUUGCAAAGGGAGAUGGAUGAACAUCCUUGAUGAACAUAAACUAACUCCAGUUGAAGCAAAAGAACUUAAAAGGAUCCCUUCAUGACAAAAACUCUCAACAAAUGUGUAAUAAAAACCAUACAUGACAAGCCCACACAUACUAACUUCAUACUCAAUGGUGAAAGGUUGAAACUUUUCCUCUAAGAUCAGGAACAGACAAGGAUGCCCAUUUGUAUCACUCUUAUUCAACACCAUAUUGGCAGUCCUAGCCAGAGCAAUCAAAUAAGGGGAAAAAAAGCAUCCAAAUAAGAAAGGAAG